rnacentral:rRNA from 1 species
UACGGGGGGGGCAAGCGUUUGUUCGGAAUUACUGGGCGUAAAGGGCUUGUAGGCGGCCAACUAAGUCCGACGUGAAAUCCCAAGGCUUAACCUUGGAACUGCGUCGGAUACUGGAUGGCUUGAAUUCGGGAGAGGGAUGCAGAAUUCCAGGUGUAGCGGUGAAAUGCGUAGAUAUCUGGAGGAAUACCGGUGGCGAAGGCGGCAUCCUGGACCGACAUUGACGCUGAAAAGCGAAAGCUAGGGGAGCAAACGGG